rnacentral:rRNA from 2 species
UGGGGAAUAUUGGACAAUGGGCGAAAGCCUGAUCCAGCCAUGCCGCGUGAGUGAAGAAGGCCUUCGGGUUGUAAAGCUCUUUUGUUGGGGAAGAAAAGCAAUCGGUUAAUACCCGGUUGUUCUGACGGUACCCAAAGAAUAAGCACCGGCUAACUUCGUGCCAGCAGCCGCGGUAAUACGAAGGGUGCAAGCGUUACUCGGAAUUACUGGGCGUAAAGCGUGCGUAGGUGGUUCGUUAAGUCUGAUGUGAAAGCCCCGGGCUCAACCUGGGAAUUGCAUUGGAUACUGGCGGGCUAGAGUACGGUAGAGGGUGGCGGAAUUCCUGGUGUAGCAGUGAAAUGCGUAGAUAUCAGGAGGAACAUCCGUGGCGAAGGCGGCCACCUGGACCAGUACUGACACUGAGGCACGAAAGCGUGGGGAGCAAACAGG